GUGCUCGCUUCGGCAGCACAUAUACUAAAAUUGGAAUGAUACAGAGAAGAUUAGCAUGGCCCCUGUGCAGGGAUGACACGCUUUUUAAAUAUUUAAAAAAAAAAAAG
rnacentral:snRNA from 1 species